ensembl:lncRNA
AUGGCCUCAGAAGCACCAAGUGAGGAUGCAGAAGGUGCAGCUGAGCCUCCUGCAGCUCCUGUGCAGGGGAACAGCACAUUCCAGUGGGGAUCCAUCCUUGCUGCAGUGAAGGACCAGCUCCCAUCCCUGGACUCUGACUCCUCCACAUCUGAUUGUGAGAGUGAUGAGGAGCUUUUCAUCUUCCAGAGGGACCUGCCCAACUUAAUUCCAGACCUGUCAGAGGAACUGAUGAUGUUUGCCCUGGAAGACUCCCAGGAGCAGCAAAUCCAGGAGACAGAAAGACUUCCAUGGGAGAUCUGGAACGAAGACCUGGAAAGUUUUGACUUUCAGGAAAAAACAGAUGGUGCCCAAAUCAUUGCAAAAGAAGAUGUACAAAUGAUUAAAGAUGAGGCUGCUGAACCUGCCAGCCAGACUGAAGAAAUGCCAAGACAAAAGAGAGCUGUUCUUGAAGAGUCUCCCUCAGAUUCCACAGAUCACCUUGAGGGGAAGGAAAUGGGCAGGACUCAGGCCAAGGAAAGAGCAAACUCCUGGCCUAUCACAGCAGUGCCUGUGCAAGAGCUGUACACUAAAGAGGAGAGAAAAAAGCUGAUAGAGACAAAGAUACUGUCCAAGGUCCUUGUGGAGCCAUCCCCAAAGCAGGAGCUCAAACCUCCCUCCCAUGGCAUCAACAACAGCCUGGGAAGAUUUGCAAAGGCAGAAACCUCCUCAGAUGAGCGUCUUGGAGAAGUGAUCCAUUUGUCAUUGCAGGCUAUUGAGAAAUGGAACGCAGACAAGAAUCUUGAGGAGCUAGAGCAGCAGGGAGAUAAAACUCGUGCAGAAGUUGCUUUCUUCCCAGCAGAUUAUGAGUCCUUCAGGAGGAAGUGUGAAGAGGAGCUGAUGGAAAGGCUGGGGGAGCUGUGUGCCAGGCAGACCAGGGCAGUGUCCCCUGCCUGUGAGAGGCCCUCAGCCAAGCUCUGCUCCUUCCAGGGACAGCAGGACAAUGAUGCAAGUGACAGCUCCUCCUCCUCCUCCUCUGAAGAAGAAGAAGAGACUGUGACAAUUCAGGAUGAAGCAGGAAGGAGAAUGAGGAAUUGCUCAGGGAAGAGCCUGUUACUGCAACAACUCCGAGCAGCCCGGAAGGAGGCCUUGGAGCUUCUUCACAAAACAUCUCUUGCAGCUGAGAAACUGCAGCCAGAAAGGCUGGAAGACACAGAUUCCUCUAAUAAAAGUCAAACCCAAUCUUGUAAAGUGAGGCAAGAGACAAAUGAGGUGGUUCCCAGGAAACUGAUGAGAUUGGAACCCAGCAAGGAAAGUCUCCCCUUUUCAAGCUGUGGGGGUGACAGAUCUGACACAGAGAAAGAGAACAAAAUGGAAGCUGAGAAGAUUCCAAGUGCAGGAAAUGCUCCAGAGUGUCCUCUGAUUACAGCAGAAUUGCCAAGGUAUCCCACAGGAAAAGUAAUCAGAGGGUUUGGAUGUGGCUUCUCUAAUUGCCCUGGAUUAAAGAAAAUUGCUUACCUGGGCUGUGAGCUGGAGCAAGAGGGUGUCUGGAUUUGUUAGCUGGCAAGAACAACAGUCCUGGCAGCUGCUGCUGGAAGGUUUAGAGGCAGCCUCAGUGGGGCCUGGCAUUAGAUGAGCUGGGGCACUCCUGACAUUGGAAAUGGAGCCUUUUUCUAUAGCUUUUAUCCUACAGAAGAAGAGGAUUACACGGUAUUGAUCUCCUUUAGGAACAGCAGCACUGAGGUUUCCUAAGCACAGCUGCCUAGAAAAUAGGUCUGGAAGGGUCAGUCUCCCUGUGCCAAUAAAGAGUGAGGUAAAAUGUAAUAUCUCCUGGCA